rnacentral:lncRNA from 1 species
CUAAAGGCAGGGCUACAACAAUGUGAAUGCAUCAGCUGACUCAGCCAUCAUGACCAUUUCCAGGAACAAAUCAGUCCUUCAGAUUAAACUGAAUUCAUGUGUAAAGGGCAAAGUGUUUUUCCAUUAUCCUUUUAAUUUUUAUCUUUAUAAAAUAUCAAUAUACUCUGAUGUUUUUCCAGACAGCGCAGAUGAGUAUGCAUUAGCUGGGAGGUAUGAUACGGAUGUAAGAGGCAGGAAGAGUGAACAAAAGCAGGAAGAGAGGACAACUGAGAAAAGGAACGUGGAAGGGCCCUUCUUGGCACUGAGCCCUCUUUCUCCUGGAUGCAUGCUUAGAUCAGCUGUUCUGCAGAGCUGGUGACAUGGAAUUUGAACUCCAGAGUUCUGCGGAGGGUGAGUCACCACUUCAUGCUCUUGGGACAGCUGAUGGCUUUGACAGCCCCCAGUGAUAAGGACAUGAGUGUGCAAAAGAAACUUUGUCCUGCCGCAAGCUGGAGCACAUCAAGGUUCUGCAGAGACACUGGACAACCAUGCUGUAAUCUCAAACCAACAACCAACAUCUGUGUGACCAAAGAUGUUUACUUUGUUCAAUUGCCUUCAUAUUAUUUUGUCACUGAAUUUGAUAC